rfam:Ornithorhynchus anatinus Cont4.186, whole genome shotgun sequence.
UGCCCCUACCUGUGAUGAAAACAAGUGUUGGUAGGGACAUCUGAGAAAGCUGAUGAAUGCCAACACAGCUGAGUCGGGGCU